rnacentral:misc_RNA from 1 species
GACCGCCGCUUGCUGGUGCUGGCGACCGUCGGUUCGGCCAGCCCCUUCGUCGGCCUGUUCGGCACGGUCUGGGGCAUCAUGUCGAGCUUCCAGUCCAUCGCCGCGUCGAAAAACACCUCCCUGGCGGUGGUCGCCCCCGGCAUCGCCGAGGCCCUAUUUGCCACCGCCAUCGGCCUUAUCGCCGCAAUUCCGGCGACAAUUUUCUACAAUAAGUUCACCUCGGAGGUGAACCGGCAGGCCCAG